rnacentral:tRNA from 1 species
AAGACACUAGUAAAAUAGCAAUUACAUUACUUUGUCAAGGUAAAAUUGUGGGUUAAAGCCCCACGUGUCUUA